rnacentral:rRNA from 1 species
GAUCACCUACGGGGGGCAGCAGUAGGGAAUCUUCCACAAUGGACGAAAGUCUGAUGGAGCAACGCCGCGUGAGUGAAGAAGGGUUUCGGCUCGGAAAACUCUGUUGGUAGUGAAGAAAGAUAGAGGUAGUAACUGGCCUUUAUUUGACGGUAAUUACUUAGAAAGUCACGGCUAACUACGUGCCAGCAGCCGCGGUAAUACGUAGGUGGCAAGCGUUGUCCGGAUUUAUU